rnacentral:rRNA from 1 species
CCCGAGAGGGAUAGUGAUUUUAGCUGAUAAGUUUUCCUUUUGUAUAAGGGUUUAACCACUAAAAACCUAAAAUGUAGCCUUCCCGAAAGAGGAAGAUCUAAAAAAUAGGGUAUUUUAGUACUUAAAAAGUACUGUUUAAGUUUUACUUUUGAAACUAUUUUUUAGGGGCUAAAAACCUACCAAUUCCUUUGAUAGCUGGAUUUCUUAGAAAUGUGUUUAGCACUACAGCCAGUCAUGGAAUGUUGAGAUUUCAUGAGCAAAGAAUAAUUUUUAAUUGGAAAUCAUGAGGUAAAACUCAUUUUUCUUAGUUUUUAAAAUUUAUUUAGUCUGAGAUCUUUCUACUAGAAGAAAGAGAAAUGGAAUAAUUUAUUUUUUUAAAACUGUUAAAAUUAGUAUUAAUUUUUAAAUAUAGGUAAGGAACUCGGCAAAUAGUACCUUCGUCUGUUUAACAAAAACAUAGCCUUGAGAACCAUUCAAGGUAAGCCCUGCCCGGUGAGUAAUUAUUAAACGGCCGCAGUACCCUGACUGUGCUAAGGUAGCGCAAUCAAUUGGCUUUUAAUUGGAGUCUUGUAUGAAUGGGUUGACGGGGGUAAGCUGUCUCAUCUAUACUAAUUAGAAUUUACUCAAGAGGUGAAAAUUCCUCUAGGUUUAAAAAAGACGAGAAGACCCUUAGAAUUUUUAGAAUAUCAGUAUAAGUUAACUGUUGAUUUUUGUUGGGGCGACACUGAGACACAAACACCAACUCUCAGUUUAUAGAAAAAAUUCUUCGAAGUUUUUAAUUGAAAUAAAAUUACCUGAGGGAUAACAGCAUUAUUAAUGAUUUAGCUUGUGACCUCGAUGUUGGACUAAGGACCUUUUGGACUAGCCGUUCAAAAGUCUUGCUCUGUUCGAGCAUUUUUCCUUACAUGAUCUGAGUUCAGACCGGCGAGAGCCAGGUCAGUUUCUAUCUUUUUAAUUUAAGUAUUAGUACGAAAGGACCAUACUUAAUCCUGUUGGAU